ACUCAAAGCACUUGAAUCCCUACUGCUUAUCCUCAUCCCCACAAAGUCCCACCAAGGAAGCUGUCCUGGUCACCUGCUUGGAGAGAAACCUACCCCUUUGGAUCCCAUCCCUUAAAAUGGCAUCACCUGGUAGUGUGACAAGCAAAGGGUAUACGUGCAUCUUUGCUUCCAUUGCUACCAGAACAGACUGCAGCAGAGAAUGAAGGUCUCCUUCU
rnacentral:lncRNA from 1 species